rnacentral:rRNA from 1 species
UACAGAGGGGGCAAGCGUUAUUCGGAAUUAUUGGGCGUAAAGGGCGCGUAGGCGGCCUGGCAAGUGGAAGGUGAAAUCCCUGGGCUCAACCCAGGAAUUGCCUUUGAAACUGUUUAGCUUGAGUGUCGGAGGGGAUAGCGGAAUUCCUAAUGUAGAGGUGAAAUUCGUAGAUAUUAGGAGGAACACCGGUGGCGAAGGCGGCUAUCUGGACGACAACUGACGCUGAGGCGCGAAAGUACGGGGAUCAAACAGG